GCUGGCGGCGUGCCUAACACAUGCAAGUCGAACGAGAAAGUGGAGCAAUCCAUGAGUAAAGUGGCGACCGGGUGAGUAACACGUGACUAACCUACCUCCGAGUGGGGAAUAACUCCGGGAAACCGGGGCUAAUACCGCAUAACAUCGCAAGAUCAAAGCAGCAAUGCGCUUGGAGAGGGGGUCGCGGCUGAUUAGCUCGUUGGCGGGGUAACGGCCCACCAAGGCGAAGAUCGGUAUCCGGCCUGAGAGGGCGCACGGACACACUGGAACUGAAACACGGUCCAGACUCCUACGGGAGGCAGCAGUGGGGAAUUUUGCGCAAUGGGGGAAACCCUGACGCAGCAACGCCGCGUGGAGGAUGAAGCCCUUUGGGGCGUAAACUCCUUUCGACUCGGACGAUAAUGACGGUACGAGUGGAAGAAGCACCGGCUAACUCUGUGCCAGCAGCCGCGGUAAUACAGAGGGUGCGAGCGUUGUUCGGAAUUAUUGGGCGUAAAGGGCGCGUANGCGGUGCGGUAAGUCACCUGUGAAAUCUCCUGGCUUAACUGGGAGCCUGCAGGCGAAACUACCGUGCUGGAGUGUGGGAAAGGUGCGUGGAAUUCCCGGUGUA
rnacentral:rRNA from 1 species